GACGAACCGAGCGAACGUUGUUCGGAAUCACUGGGCUUAAAGGGCGCGUAGGCGGGUGCUCAAGUCUGUGGUGAAAUCCUCCAGCUUAACUGGAGAACUGCCAUGGAUACUGGGUGUCUCGAGGAACGUAGGGGUAUGCGGAACGAUUGGUGGAGCGGUGAAAUGCGUUGAUAUCAAUCGGAACUCCGGUGGCGAAGGCGGCAUACUGGACGUUUUCUGACGCUGAGGCGCGAAAGCCAGGGGAGCAAACGGG
rnacentral:rRNA from 1 species